rnacentral:rRNA from 1 species
ACAGCAGCCGCCGCGGGAAUACGGAGGGUGCAAGCGUUAAUUGGAAUUACUGGGCGUAAAGCGCACGCAGGCGGUCUGACAAGUCAGAUGUGAAAUCCCCGGGCUUAACCUGGGAACUGCAUUUGAAACUGUCAGGCUGGAGUCUUGUAGAGGGGGGUGGAAUUCCAGGUGUAGCGGUGAAAUGCGUAGAGAUCUGGAGGAAUACCGGUGGCGAAGGCGGCCCCCUGGACAAAGACUGACGCUCAGGUGCGAAAGCGUGGGGAGCAAACAGGAUUAGAUACCCCAGUAGUCCCUGUCUCUUAUAC